rnacentral:misc_RNA from 1 species
GAUGAAGAACGCAGCGAAAUGCGAUACUUGGUGUGAAUUGCAGAAUCCCGUGAACCAUCGAGUCUUUGAACGCAAGUUGCGCCCGAAGCCAUCAGGUUGAGGGCACGUCUGCCUGGGCGUCACAUAUCGUUGCCCAAUGCCUAUUGCAGUGCAAUAGGAAUUUCUAGGGCGAAUGAUGGCUUCCCGUGAGCGUUGUUGCCUCGCGGUUGGUUGAAAAUCGAGUCCUUGGUAGGGUGUGCCAUGGUAGAUGGUGGUCGAGUUAGAACGAUACCGAUCAUGUGCAUGCUCCCCAAAAUAUGGCCUCUAUCACCCACACGCGUCUUUUGACGCUCAUGACGAGACCUCAGGUCAGGCGGGGCUACCCGCUGAAUUUAAGCAUAUCAAUAAGCGGAGGA